UCCCUUCGGGACAUAUAACCAAAUCACCUUCUUCUAACAAUUUCUUGAUCAUAUUAGCAUCCGUUACGCGAUCACGGCUAAGACGAACCGUUUUAAUAGGUGAAAUGAUCUCGGAGAGCCGAGACAGUGAAUAUGUGACAGCAGGUAUGGGCCGGCCAAGGGCUGUUGAUAGGAAAAUUGGGUCGAGAAGAGUUCGAUGAGAGCAAAUGAAUAGGACACCGGUUUGGCCCGUAGAUUUUUGGGCCCGAGGAGGUGGGUUGCCUUUGACUUUGACCCGAACACCAAGAGCCCAAAAAGCGUAAUAGACUAGUGGCAUUGGCAGGUAAGGCUGAAAAUCUAAGUAAAAAUGGUUCCCUACACGUAGUGCCUUCGGGACAUAUAACCAAAUCACCGUCUUCUAACAAUUUCUUGAUCAUAUUGGCAUCUGUUACACGAUCACGGCUAAGACGAACUGUUUUAAUAGGUGAAAUGAUCUCAGAGAGCCGAGACAGUGAGUAUGUGACCGCAGGGAUGGGCCGGCCAAGGGCUGUUGAUAGGAAAAUUGGGUCGAGAAGAGUUCGAUGAGAGCAAAUGAAGAGUACACCGGUUUGGCCCGUGGAUUUUUGGGCCGGAGGAGGUGGGUUGCCUUUGAUUUUGACUCGAACACCAAGAGCCCAAAAAGCGUAAUAGACUAGUGGCAUUGGUAGGAGCGAACCAGCAGCUAUACGCAAGCAUGAUAAGAGGAAACCAAUUGGGAUCCAAAGAAUUAUCAUAAGUGCAAU
rnacentral:lncRNA from 1 species